ACAUGAACAUGAACGCUAUGCCACACGGAAGCCUCACGGCACAAGCCUGCUUCACCAUUGUUCUGCCUUCAAGGGAGCAAUGCUGGGGACCUCUGUUUGAGGAUCCCUUCCUUGCUACGGAAGUUUACAGAUUUCCAGCAGUGCCUGGAAGACUCGCCUUAACGUCCUCCACUGCCCCAGAGAGGUCGAAGUCCUGUGCUGCCAGUUGUCUGACAGGGGAAAGUAAAUGGGAAGGAAGGAUGUCCUGAACGAGAGGCUUCAGAAGGAUACCUCAAGAAAAGCACCAGUUAAUGCCAGGGAGGGAAACAUGGCAUGGACAAAGUACAAACACAAAGAUCUAAAGAGUUCACAUGUUGUCCUGAGAACUCUGGGGAACACACUCUGAGAAAUCUCCCUUUGAAAUGUGUUCUCUGUCCAGACAGGAUGCUCCGUGGUCCUCCCCCUCCUUCCUAGUAAACAUGAACUUCGGUUCUGAAUCACA